AGUUGGGGCAAGAGGAUAGAGAUUAGUAUGAGUACCGGUAUGGAAUUGAACUCCCUACGUAGUCAAAGAAUUCCACAUAUGAGUCACUGAGACAAGCUACUUUGUCAGGUAUCAAAGAAAUUCAUUGAGUUUUAGAUGAGAUUAGAGCCAUAGGUAUUGUUGCCAUUGCGGAGGUAGAAGAGAAACGAUAUAGAUCAGGUAAAGGCCUUUGAAGCUGGGUUUCUGGUUUAAGUAGUCAGUCGGGUUGCUAGUAGU
rnacentral:lncRNA from 1 species